rnacentral:rRNA from 1 species
GACGAACGCUGGCGGCGUGCUUAAUACAUGCAAGUCGAACGGAAAGGCCCUGCUUUUGUGGGGUGCUCGAGUGGCGAACGGGUGAGUAAAACGUGUGUAACCUGCCCUUGACUUUGGGAUAACUUCAGGAAACUGGGGCUAAUACCGGAUAGGAGCUCCUGCUGCCUGGUGGGGGUUGGAAAGUUUCGGCGGUUGGGGAUGGACUGGCGGCUUAUCAGCUUGUUGGUGGGGUAGUGGCUGUCCAAGGCUUUGACGGGUAGCCGGCCUGGGAGGGGGACCGGCCACAUGAGGCCUGAGGUAGGGCCCAGACGGCUACGGGAGGCAGCAGGGGGGAAUAUUGCACAAUGGGCGGAAGCGAGAUGCAGAGGCGCCGCGAGCGGAAUAACGGCCUUCGGGUUAUAAACCGCUUUCGCCUGAGACGAGGCGUGAGUGACGGUAAUGAGUAAAGAAGCACCGGCUAACUACGUG